rnacentral:rRNA from 1 species
GACGAACGCUGGCGGCGUGCCUAAUACAUGCAAGUCGAACGCAGUGGGGACGGGUGAGUAACACGUGGGUAACCUCCCAUCAGAGGGGAUAACACUUGGAAACAGGUGCUAAACCGAUACUGAUGGAUGGACCCGCGGUGCAUUAGCUAGUUGGUGAGGUAACGGCUCACCAAGGCCACGAUGCAUAGCCGCCCUGAGAGGGGUGUCGUCCACAUUGGGACUGAGACCCGGCCCAGAUUCCUGCGGGAGGAAGCAGUAGGGAAUCUUCGGCAAUGGACGAAAGUCGGACCGAGCAACUCCGCGUAAGGGAAUAAGGUUUUCGGAUCGUAAGACUCUUGUGUUAGAGAAGCGGUAUCUAACCAGAAAGCCACGGCUAACUACGUGCCAGCAGCCGCGGUAAUAC